ensembl:lncRNA
CGGAGGGGCGGGGACAGGCUUGUGCUGGCCACACUGGGAUUGGCCGGGGAUGUUGGUGGGUGGGCCUGCGAGCUGAAGGUUGGAAGGGGUGGGGUCCGGAGCGCUAUUUUCGUGUGUGGGCGGGUUCUGGCGGAAAUAUUUGCAUGGCGCCCGGGGAGGGGCGGGGCACAUAAAGUUCUGGUAAGGCCUUGGGGACCGCGCGGGUUUCCUCCCCGGAAUCUCCGACUCCGCCUGGUUUCUUCGGAUGGUAGAGUCCAGGCCGUCCGCCUUUCUUACCGAGAGCCUGGUGGGGCUCAGGAAGGCAGUGAUACCAGCCCCAGUCACCCAGCCACCGUGCCAAGCCCGGUCCCCGCACUGCCUUCGUGGCCUGGGAGCCGGCUGACGGCCCUGAGGGUUGGAAUCCUGGCUCUGGUUCACCACAAACCUGCACCCUGCUUUCCCCCCAACCUCAGACUUCAAGCACCGCAUCACUGUGCAGGCCUCACCUGGCCUGGAUCGGAGGAGAAACGUCUUCGAGGUCGGAGCUGGGGAUUCGCCCACCUUCCCCCGGUUCCGAGCAAUCCAGUUGGAGCCUGCAGAACCAGGCCAAGCAUGGGGCCGCCAGUCCCCCCGACGUCUGGAGGACUCAAGCAAUGGAGAGCGGCGAGCAUGCUGGGCCUGGGGUCCCAGUUCCCCCAAGCCUGGGGAAGCCCAGAAUGGGAGGAGAAGGUCCCGCUUGGACGAAGCCGCGUGGUACCUGGAUUCAGAUGACUCGUCCUCCUUGGGGUCUCCUUCCACACCCCCAAUGCUCAAUGGUGAGUGGCCUUGUCUACCCCCCAGCAGACUCUUGCUGCACUCCUGUGGGUACUAUGGGGAGAACCACAAGAAGUUAACUGCAGGGCAGGCCGUUCUUAGAACCCACAUCUGACCUAUAGGUCCACCAGUGAGCCAGGUACAGCCCAGGCUUCAGGGGGCCCAGCAUGCGGUCCUCUUGUUCAGGCCUGGCCUGCAAGAGGGCUCGGUCCUGGCCAGUGAUAGCUGCUGUGCCUCAGUAGGCUGUAGGGAGGGAAGGAAGACCGGGACUGGUACUCCCCAUUUGGGACCCAAGGGAAGCUGGGUCCAGAGAGGCGAGGGAAGCUGCCAUGUGUUGUGGAGCCAGGCCGGUGGCUGCCACACUGUGCUUCUCAGAGCCCCUUCUGGGGAUCCUGUAGGUGGAGAAGAGGGUAAGAAAGCUAAGCCAGGGUGGGAAGCGAGGGGAUCCAGGGCCUGCUUUUGCUGCAUCCGGGGCAGUUCUGAGCUUUCCUGUCUCCGUGAGGCUAGCAGCAGUUAGCGGGCGCCAGGUCUCCCCUCUUAGCAACAACCCAGUGAGGGACAUGCUAUUAUUAUUGCCAUUUUAGAGAUGAGAAAAUUGAGGCUCUGAGAGAGAAAGUAACCUACCUAGGGCCCUCAGUGAAGGAUUUGAACUCAGAGAGGCUUAGAAGCUUUCACUUGAAGCAAGGGUUGGGCACAUACACACUGCUUGGGAAGCUAGGGGGUUGGGCAGAGAGCAGGGCUCCUGUGUCGGAGGAAUAAGGAUUCAGCUCAGGGUUGGCAAGGGGUGGAAAGGUGCAUCUUCCUUGCCUCUGGGUCCUGUCAGAGCCCCUGUCACCCCACCCAGCACAUCCCUUCCACCAUUAUUGAGUUACAUUUGAUAGUAGUAACAACGGGUAACGUUUACUGGGUCCCUCCUAUGUGCCAGGCAAUGCUGUGAGGUGGGUGUUAUUAUUAGUAC